rnacentral:rRNA from 1 species
UACGUAGGAUGCGAGCGUUGUCCGGAAUUACUGGGCGUAAAGAGCUCGUAGGUGGUUUGUCGCGUUGUUCGUGAAAACUCACAGCUCAACUGUGGGCGUGCGGGCGAUACGGGCAGACUGGAGUACUGCAGGGGAGACUGGAAUUCCUGGUGUAGCGGUGAAAUGCGCAGAUAUCAGGAGGAACACCGGUGGCGAAGGCGGGUCUCUGGGCAACAACUGACGCUGAGGAGCGAAAGCGUGGGGAGCGAACAGG